UGCAGGAGGGGGGCUGCUCCAGUCCAUGGUAAGUGAUGCUCCAGUCCUUGUAGGAACUCAUCUGCUAAUUGUAGAUGUUCUCAACAUUAGGGUUGCCGUGUCUCCAGCCAGGAGGAGGAGAGGGAUAACCGAGUUUAUUGGACUGUGUGGAUUCAAUGGCCUGUGUGGAUUAGCGCCACUGUCUGUUCAUCUGCCUUUGAUCCUGAUCCGAGUAGGUGUUGUAAGACAUGGGCUGCUGCUCCUCACCCUCCACCACCCGUACCGGCACGAGGUACUCUGGCUUCAAGAAUGAGCACUGCCACUGCUUCAACUCUGACAACAACCACUGCCGCUACUCCAGGCUCGACAAUGAGCACCGUCACCACUCCAGCUGCUCCGAUACAGAGUGCCGGCCACAGUUUGC